GAGAGAGGGAGGGCGGCUCCCGGCUCAGUGCCGAGGAAAGUUCCCCCACCGUUAAUUGGCGAGCACCCGCAAGGGUGCAGGGCGAGAGUCCUGGCUUCCCGCACAGAAACGACACGGGCGCAGGGUAAUGCGAGGAUGUGCUCCGCAAUGCGGGCACUGAGGUCCCCUGCGAACCGAUGAAACGGCGGAGCCUCGCCGGUGCAAGCCAAAAAGGGGUAUCUCCCCGGGUGGGCGCUCAGACGAAUGCCGCCAAAACAAAAGGGGACUUACUCCCCUCACUC
rnacentral:RNase_P_RNA from 1 species